GCCUAGCAGGCUCAGUCGGUAGAGCAUACGACUCUUGAUCUCAGGGUGUGAGUUCGAUCCCCACAUUGGGCA
rnacentral:tRNA from 1 species